AUUUGUAAUGGCUAUCAGCAUUCGAUAAUUUGUUCAGGGUUGUCCUGUUGUCUCUACCUAGGAAGGCCAAACAGGGUCGGCCGUCACCACAGAUAAAAACAUUGUCGAGCCUUACUUUUUGCAAGUUGCCUUAUUUCAGUCAUUACAUUCCUAUUGCACAAAUGCUGCUAGAUCGCACAGGGCAUUUGUACUAGCAGGCAAUCAAUCACAUAAGGUAACCAGAGGCAAUCAUUCCAAACGCAAUCAUUUCACAUAAGGUAACCAGACAUGAUUAAUCCUAACGCAAUCAAUUCAUUCAAUCACCUUCCUUCUUUCAAACAAACGGUGAUCAAUCUCUCCUUCCUUCUUUCAUUGAUACUGUGGUCAAUAUUUUUCCUUCUUUGACUAUCACCAUGGUUUAGCUGGCGCCAAUUGAUAUUGAGAAAGUCGUAUCAGCCAAAUUAUGUCUUUUUAGCUGGCGCCAAUACAAAAUGAGGAGCGCUUCUCUUCCCGCCAUAUCUCUAAUGCCAUGCUAUAAAAGUCAUGCAGCGUUCUGACCAUGAGUCGUGUAGAACAGAAAUCGGGUCUUGGCAAAGAUGGGCUGUCCUGGCUCUAAGAGGAUCAUGGCACCACCACCUGUGAACUUCGUCCCCGCUCCCGUUGGCUCUCCCCCUCCGAUCAACAGGCAACAUUAGUUCCAUUCCUGCUUUUAGCUGUUUGCAUAAGUAUAAUCUGCAUUAUUGUUCUCUUUCUCAAUGUUGACCAAUUGCAGGCAUGUAAGGUUCAACGAAAUAGAGAACCUACACAUAUACAGUAGAGAUUGGGACGCAACGGCAAAGGUUUUGUGUGCUCGCAUCAAACAUACUCAGAGUGGAACUGCCGUCUUUCACGCCAUCCUCAUCGACCAGACUGUAAGAAUUCAAAAUGUAUACAGUAAAUUUCAUUGGGGGGUCAAAAUGGAAGCAACAUGCUGCUAAUGUAUGCAAUAAAUUUCACAAGGGUCAAAAUGGAUGCAAUUGCAUUCGAUCCGUUUCAACCUAUCGCAUAUCGCUUCAUGGACAACCUACGUGCCGGCUCAGUAUACUUUUUCAGUAAAGUUGGUUUCGAACCAGCAGGUGUGCAUCUACCAGUUGCUUUGUGGCUGCCAUGUGACUUUUACAUCACCCUCCACUCGCGCACUGAAAUACGUCUUGCAAGGGCCAGCAUUAACAUCACUACGUUGCCGCCACUAUUCAUAGAUUUUAUAAAUGUCUUCAGCCUCAGAGACAGGAUGCUUGCAGGUGCUUUGUAUCAUUUCACGAUUAAUUAUGCUGACAUGUGGUUGAGCCAGGCUUUGUUAAUAAAUUCUGAACAUUUUUUGCCCAGAUGUCAUUGGUAUAGUGAUGCAUGUCAGCCGCAUAAUGUUACACAGGUCAUCCGACCGUACCACGCCAUACCGACAUGUGGUGCUAACGGACAGUCGGUAAGUACUUCAUCCAAGUGGUUCAUGUAUAAUACAUUUUACUGUGUCACAGGGCUAACAUUUCAUUGCUCAAACAGGAGGGAGUUUAUCUACCUACGCGUCUGGGACCAGCAUGUGUCACGCCACUUGAGACGGUGGGGACUAGCGAAGCAGGGGCUCUGGACUUUAGGUGCCACACUGCUUGAGGUCAACAGAGCAAAACGUGAGUCCUUGCGUUAACAAAGAAAGUUUAACAUUGAUUUAUAUUGUUUGAUUAAACCUAUUUUGUAGGGUUUCUGAAAACGACAUACAUGAGCUAGCUUGUCUUUGAACCAGACAACCAGCAAUCCUACGAGCUGGAGGCCUGCCGUGCCGCACUAGGAGAUGCGGUUGGGUCCUUGCAGAACCGGGCCAGCUUGAUCGUCCAACGACUGAGCCAUGUUCACGUUCAACGAAUGAGGAGGGUUCAAGUGUGAUGCAAACUACACUGAAAUGCUCUAUAAUGAUCUGCCACAUAGUGAUUCGUCGCCUCUAAAACAGCUUCAUAUAUAAUCCAGCUUUUAUACGUGUUGUCGUCGUUGUAAAUCCAGCUGGUAUUGAAAUAAAACAAAUAAAUAAAGACGAGAAUCUGUCCGGGAUCAACUGCUAUAUCUAUGUUCUUUCCGGGUCAUUGCCUUCCCUAUUAAUUCCUUCCUAUCCCCUGCGUAGAAUCUGCGCAUUAACUUUAAUUAAUUAAUACGGGAUCACCUUCCUAUCCCGUGCAUUGCAUAUAAGCCUAAAUUCCACGCACAGUGUUAUAAGCAUACAAACCUCAUGCACACUCCGUGCCAUUGGUUUCAAAAAAUUGUUCCCCUGCCUUGCAAGCUGAUUUCCUGGGUGCCACGCCGCUAAGAUAAACGCACACAGACUCCAGUCUAAUUUGCUUCGGUAAGUCCUAUGAUUUAUUCAUGUUUAUAGUUUGUAAUUAGCCCCAUGUUUGUGAGCAUCGACUCUGAGCAAAAUGCGUCCUGUUUGCUAUUUGGGCUUCGAGCAGAAUACAAUAGUAUGAUUCAAACUAAUACGUGAGGUUGCAGAAGGACACAAUACCCACAUAAAAUCAGCAGCUGGAUGGACCGGGAGAGGGGGGCCUCCAUCCCCUUGCGAUGUGUGGGCUGUAGCUCCUCUCCAUGCCGCGGGAGCAAGCUCCAGCACACAGAGGCAGCUCAGCCUCCGUCUUACGCGCAGACGCCGUCUCCCGACCCGCCGUCACCGUAUCACGCUCACCCACCAUUUCCCGACCACCGCGCCUGCCAUCACGGCCGACGGCACACGUAGCCCCCAUCACCGUGGCCAGAACGUCUGCCUUCAAGGACGGCGGCCCGCACAUCCUCAACGAGCAGAGCAAGGUAGAGCGCUGCCGGACGCGACAUCGCCGACGAGCGUCCCAAAUUGCC
rnacentral:lncRNA from 1 species